rnacentral:lncRNA from 1 species
GCGAUAUAACCUACAUUUACUAAUUUUCUGUGUUUCUGUGUUUUAGAAUUCUCUGGAUUGAUAAUGGACUAAAGUAAACAGAAAACAUAAUUCUCUGGAUUGAUAAUGGACUAAAGUAAACAGAAAACAUAUUUCCAAACAUGUAAUGGCCGCGGAAGACUUAGAAAAGGAUCUGU